UGGGGAAUUUUGCACAAUGGGGGAAACCCUGAUGCAGCGACGCCGCGUGAUUUAGAAGGCCUUCGGGUUGUAAAAAUCUUUUCUAUGGGAAGAAAAUGACAGUACCAUAGGAAUAAGGACCGGCUAAUUACGUGCCAGCAGCCGCGGUAAUACGUAAGGUCCGAGCGUUGUCCGGAAUCAUUGGGCGUAAAGGGAACGUAGGCGGGUAAGCAAGUUAGAAGUGAAAUCCUAUAGCUCAACUAUAGUAAGCUUUUAAAACUGCUCAUCUUGAGGUAUGGAAGGGAAAGUGGAAUUCCUAGUGUAGCGGUGAAAUGCGCAGAUAUUAGGAGGAAUACCGGUGGCGAAGGCGACUUUCUGGCCAUAACCUGACGCUGAGGUACGAAAGCGUGGGUAGCAAACAAG
rnacentral:rRNA from 1 species